rnacentral:rRNA from 1 species
CCUACGGGGUGCAGCAGUGGGGAAUAUUGCGCAAUGGGCGAAAGCCUGACGCAGCGACGCCGCGUGAGGGAUGAAGGUCUUCGGAUCGUAAACCUCUGUCAGCAGGGAAGCACGGUCACUGUGCUAAUCAGCAGUGACUUGACGGUACCUGCAAAGGAAGCACCGGCUAACUCCGUGCCAGCAGCCGCGGUAAUACGGAGGGUGCGUGCGUUAAUCGGAAUUACUGGGCGUAAAGCGCUCGUAGGCGGUAUGUCAAGUCAAGGGUGAAAUCCCCGCGCUCAACGUGGGAACUGCCUUUGAAACUGGCAAACUGGAGUGUGUGAGAGGAUAGUGGAAUUCCAGGUGUAGGAGUGAAAUCCGUAGAUAUCUGGAGGAACAUCAGUGGCGAAGGCGACUAUCUGGCACAUAACUGACGCUGAGGAGCGAAAGCGUGGGUAGCAAACAGGAUUAGAUACCCGGGUAGUC